AUCUUUGCCUAGACCAACGUCCUAAAGUGUUAUCCCUAUGUUUUCUUCCAGUAGUUUUAUAGUUUCAGGUCUUACAGUUUCAAGUCUUAAAAUUUCAAGUAUUUAAUCAAUUUCAAGUUGAUUCUUAUAUAUGGUGAGAAAUAGGAGGCUUGUUUCAUUUUUCUGCCUGUGUAAAUCCAGUUUCCCAGUACCAUCUAUUGAAGAGGGUAUCUUUUCCCCAAUAUAUGUUAUUUACACCUUUGCCAACAUUUAUGGUCAAAAAUCAAUUGACCAUAAAUAUGUGGAUUUGCUUCUGGACUCCACUAUUCCCUUCAUCUGUGUAUAUAUAUUUAUGCCAGUGCCAAGAUUUUUUAUUACUAUAGCACUGGAAUAGAUUUUCAAAUCAAGUAAUGUGAUGACUCUGUCUUUCUUCUUUUUGCCAAUAUUAUUCUGGCCAUUCGGAGUCUCUUCUAAUUGCAUAUGGAUUUCAGGAUUGUUUUUAUUUCUGGGGAAAGUGUCACUGAAAUUUUGAUAGGGAUUGUACUGAAUAUGUUGAUUGUUUUGGGUAGUAUGGACAUUUUAAUAAUAUGAGUUAUCUCAAUUUCAUAAAAAUGGGAUAGCUUUCAAUUUGUUUCUGUCUUCCAUUUCAUCAGUGUUCUAAAGUUUUCAGUGUACCGAUCUUUCACUUACUUGGCUAAAUUUAUUUCUAAGUAUUUUUUAUAGUAGCUAUUUUAAAUGAAAUAAUUUUCUUGAUUUAUUUCUGGAUAGUUCACUAUUUGUUAGUAUAUAGAAACACUGAUUUUGCAUGCUGAUUUUGUAUUCUGCAACUUUACUAAAUUCAUUUAUUACUUUUAAAAGAUUUUUGUAUAGUCUUUAGGGUUUUCUAUACAUAAGAUCAUGUUUUCAAACAGGGUCUUAGUCCUUUGGUGUUGUUAUAAAGGAAUAUCUGGGACUGGGUAAUUUAUAAAGAAAAAAGGUUUAUUUGGCUCACAAUUCAGCUGACUGGAAGGCUAGAUAAAUGGCAAGAGAGGAAGCAAGAGAGAGAACGGAGGUACCAGGCUCUUUGUAACCACUAGCUCUUGCAGGAACUAAUGGAGUGAGAACUCACUCAUUAUAAUAAGGACUGCACCAAAUCAUUCAUGGGGCAUCUGACCCCAUGACCCAAAUAUCGACCAUGAGGACCCACCUCCAACAUUGGGAAAUAAAUUUCAAUAUGAGGUUUGGGGGAAGAAACAUCCAGAUUAUAGCAUAAGGACAAUUAAACUUCUUCCUUCUCAAUUGAGAUACCUUUUAUUUCUCUCUUGCCUAACUGCUCUGGGUAGAACUUCUGGUAGUAUGUUAAAUAGAAAUGUUAAGAGUGGGCAUUCUUGUCUUGUGCUUGGUCUUAGAAGAAAAGCUUUGAGCUUUUCACCAUUGAAUAUGAUGUUAAAUAUCAGGUUCUAAUAUAUGGCCUUUACCAUGUUUAGGUACAUUUCUUGUAUAACUAAAUUCUUGAAGGUUUUAUCAUAAAAAGAUGUUGAAGUUUGUCAAAUGCCUUUUAUGCAUCUAUUGAAAUGAUCAUAUGGCUUUUGUCCUUUCUUUUGCUAAUGUCUUAUGUCACAUUUAUUGAUCUGCAUAUUUUUAACCAUCCUUCCAGCCCUUGGAUAAAUCCCACUGAUCAGGGUAAAUGAUUAUUUUAGUGUGCUAUUGAGUUCAGUUUGCUAGUAUUUUGUUGAAGACUUUUGCAUCUAAGUUCAUCAGGAAUAUCGACCUGUAAUUUUCUUUCCUUGUUGAGUCACUGCUAGGUUUUGGUAUA